GUGAGGGGCAGCCCGCCAUGGUCGGCCUGGGGCGGGCGCUGCCCCCUGAAGCUGAGCAGGGCUUUGGGGAGGCAGCGAGCAGGGUCUGGCGUGGGGGUGCAGCUGAAGCCUCUUUGUAGUCCCCUUCCUGCGGCCGGUCUGCCACAAGCAGAAUCGUGGGGAACACAAGUGCCAAGAACGGAGCAUCAGCAGAUGCCACGAGAACGGGCUAAAAAUGGGCUAAAAGGAACAAAAAAGCAGAGGGGUUAGUGAUUGAUGAGUCAGAAGUUGCAGGAGAGAGUGCAGAAAUCCCCCAGGGCCGUGGCACCGCUGCCCCCAGCCUGUCCUGCAGCAGGGCUGCGUGGGGAGGGGAGCGGGCUGUUCUGUGGGGUCCGACGGGGGUCACCACCCUGCCCUGACGGGCUGGUGUCACAGCUGAUGGAUCUUGGGUCCAGACAAGUGGAAGUUUUGUAGGUAGAAAGCCUCAAAAUACUCUGCCUACGGGAAUGCAGGUGUUCAGCAACCUGCCCACAGCAGCACACAAGCACGCAGGGCAUCGGGGGGGUUGGAAGUGUUGACCUUAGCUCGGUGACCAAAGCUUUCCAAGUUUCCACUUGCGACAGUUGCCAAUGACCUGAGUAGUUAUGAAAUGUUGAGACUUUGUCUGCUUAUGUUUAUUUUUGAAAUCCAUUUGUACAUUGAAUUUAAAUAAGUUGUUAAACAGUAAAGGAAAAACAUAAGCUUUAGAAGUUCAAAGGCACUGGUGUGCUGGUUUGGCAUUACUCCAGCACUGGAGUUCUGCCAGGCUUUCAUGAUCCAGAGAACAAACUGCAUUUGUAAGCUUGUGUUUGUUCUUUCCUUACUCACUGCAGCAUGACAUUGAGCUAAGGCUGAGAAUUCACCUUUCUACUUUGACACCUUUGUGAAAAAUACGGCAACUUUUCGAUAAGGCUUUUAAUCUGAGUGCAAAAAAGUUGUUUGUUCUGGUCUCACUAAGCCCCUUAGAUACCGAUCAUUGAAAACUAUCUGCUUUUCUUUUGCGUCUCUCUACUGGGCUUUGGCUCACGUUUCUUCUGUAAUUCUAAUUCACAAUUAAAAACUUUACUGUUUUCUAGCAAAAUGCAGGUCCAAUAUUAAUAACCUUUUCAGAUUUCAGGCAUUUGUUUCAAAUUGCCCUUUUGUGCAACAGAAAUAUCGAACAGACUGCCUCGCGUUGCUGAUUUGUGAUAUCUAUACCCGGGAGACUAGUCAUGAUAUGAGUUGUCAUAUAGAUAUCCAGAUUUCGUAGCAUUAUGGCUGAAAAAAGAUCCUAACUUUCUGUCUACUUGUGAUUUAAUUUUCCUAUUUAAUUUUAUAGGGAGCCAGAGCAGAAGCAUCUGUUUCCUUUUGCAACAAAUACUUGUGAUCAUGAAUAAACUCCAGAAGUACAGGGACAUACGUGCCAGUAGUGGUGCCUUAAAUGCUUUACCAUGAUGUGUGACCAGGCACAAAAGUGGAAGCUGCCCUUGGUACUGGUAGUGUCCAUUCUUACUGAAUAUAAGAACGAUAUCCAUUAGGAUUUCUAGUGUUGGCAGUAAUAGCUGACAAAAGAAGGGCAUGACAUCCUGCAGUCUGGUCCUGUUGAACAGUUUUAGUAGCACUGCUAAGAGUAGGUGUGGUGUAGUUGCUGAGAAUACAUAUAGGGUCACAAAUACCAUGUUACUAUCAUUAGGAGACAUAAAGUCUUUUGUUAAAUAUAUGGUUAAGUCACCAGGGAAAAGAGUGCAAAAAAAAAGUUCAGUAAAUCUAGUGUUGCACUGUGACACCCUUUCAGAGAGUUUUACUUAAAAGACUUCAAGUUUAAUUCUAAUUUCUACUUUUUUCCCCCACACUUACUGUUUACACAUUCCAGUCUUUGUAUUUUUUCUGGUUUUCAGUCAUUGGAUUCAAUCCUGUGAUCCACAUGACUCAAGAAUGCUUCUCACUCUGCCUUUCACCCCACUGGGGGUGCAUCACUACCACCGAGGAUGUGCCAACAGGAUACUGUUGGCUGUCCUGCCAGAAACCACAUUAAUUCCUGCUAACAUAGGUUUAUGUUCUAUGUUCCAGGUGGCCAACCCACCAGAGGAAAUAGUUUUGUUUAACAAAGGUGGAGAGGCUUUGCCCUUGUGCAAUAUCACAUACAGAGAAAGAAACGUGUUGAAUGUUAUCUAUGUAUGAAAAAAGGGGGAAUAGAAGAGGGAAAUAAAAUGGAAGAAGGGGGUGUAGAGAAAAGAUUAAGUGACAGUCAUAGUCUGAGAAAGAGCUUGUUUGUUGAAUAUGUCUGAAAACACUUGGAAAGUGGCCUGGGGCCCCAAGCUUGUGACAACAGCUGGAAUAUUCCCAGAUUUGUAUCAAUAGCUGAUUAAAUGAGAGGGGGAGCUGUUUUGCAGCCUAAAAUGGGGUUAUUCCAAACCUGUAAAUUAUUUCAUUCAUUACACAUUGGGAUUCUGGAGUAUGUCUUUCAAAGUCUUAGUGCUCUUAAUUUCAGGGAAUAUGCAGAAUCUGUAUCCUCUGCCUACUGCAUGGGAGCUGCCACCCAGUCUGCAUGCAGCUGGAAGUGACGUUGGCUGUGCCUUCUCUUAACGCUGCUGCAAGCAAGUCCUUCAGAAAGGUGAUACUUUGUUCAGCUGUCAUCCCUUCUCCAUUAAUACUUGUUAUUGAGAUUCUGCCUCAUUGGCCUCUGUGAUUGUUCCCAUUAGAAUAGUGUGGCAAAGACCCAGUGAAUCCAACUUUAUACCCUGACUAUCCUGCAAACAUCUUACAAAUGUGUACCUUGUAUUCCAGUUCUUUGUCCUCAUAUUCCACCCACAUACAUUACUGGUACCUGCUACUACCCAGAAUUUCAAGGAAUGGUGGGUAGGUCUGCCUGAGUUCCGUCUUACAUCUGUGUUGGUGGGCCACAGGCACAGGCUGGAGAUUCUCACUUUGAUCAUCUUUAUGGUUCACUUCUCUGACCCAGCUGAUUGUUUGGUGAGGGAGAGAUCCUGUCACACCUGUACCUCAAGUGUCUCCUGUUACAACUCUUCCUCUAAAACCUUUAGACCUCCAUGCUGGAGUUCUGUCUGUAUUUUCCCCACAGUAGUGUCCCAGGCACUACAGGCAGCAUCAGUUGACUCGGGCAGCGUGUAUCUUGUGACAGAGCUCACAUGCACUCCUUGUAGGGAGUUCUGUCUCUCCAUGCCAAUAGAAUUAGUUGUGCCAUCACCGUAGUCCGUGAAGCCUUGCUGCUGAUUCACAAGCCAAGUCUGAGUUAACUAAGAUAAUGCUGGCAGUGUUUCUGGAACAAAGAUAUUCUUCAAGUCAACUAGAUGUUGGGCCUUUCAUAAGGUUUUUUUUCAGGAAAAAGGUCUCCCUUCACUGCCACUGGAGUGUCCAGCAGCCACAGGCACUGAAGCUCACCUUGGAGCUUCUCUGGGCAGUUCAGUACCGUUGCCUGCAUUCAAAGAGGUUUUGCCCUAUUCCAGGUCUAAUGGUAGCUUUGUAGUAAUAAAGUUCAUGCAGUACCUCAUAAAAAAGGCAGAUGGGAAGCACACUUCCUAAAGCCCAGUUGCAGAUGCAUGUAUAGCAACUGAUUAACUUAAUUAUUAGAAAAUGUGAAGUUCCAUUGUGGCCCUCUACUUUAGUGACCUCUCCGCAUCACAGAAUUUUUGGCAAUAAAAUCAUCUCAUGUUUCGUGGCUUAUAAUAUUUUGUGCCUGUAAUUCCUUUUUUUACUGUUGCAGAAUACAUAAUAGCAGAUUUUUCUUGAAACAGUCUAAUGAUAUAUUAUCUCUUUUUGGAGUGAUAACAGUAAAUUUAAGCUCAAGCAACCUAUAUAAAGAGCUCAGUGUUCCUUGCAUCCCCAUGAUGUCUUUUCUUCCCUGAUUUUCACUUGCACUGUAAUUCCAGUUUGCUUCAUUUUGUUAGACUCCUCCAAAACUCAAGAACUCACUGGUCCCAAGAAAGACCAGAAAUUAACUAACAUAUGUGAUUUUGUAGCAGUUGCAAUUUUUUACCAAUUUAUUACUUUUUCCAGAAAACUGACAUGAAACAGCAGAUGUCUCAGUGUAGAAGCAGCUUCCUAAUCCCCCUCCCACUGUCACGGAAUGCUGAUUAUAAAGGGAAAGUGUACCUGCUUACAAGGACAUUGCCAUGUUUGAGAUAAAGAUCUCUUGAUUUUAUUUGUUCUGUCAGACAGAGAACUAAAUUUCUCUUGCACGUUCAGAGCUUGGAGCACACCACUCACGGCAAUUUAAAAGAAGACAAGAUAUCCACGCCCCAGCAAAUGGAAAGGCUUGGCAACCCUGCACUACCAGUUCUGUAAAAGUGAAAUGUUACGGGAAGUCUCUGCAAACAUUGGUCCUGUAAACAGAUCUUUAUCCGUAGUGACCGGAUGCCCUUGGGAAGAUUUACGCCAUUGCCAGUCCCUGAGACUCCACCUGGGAAUCAAACAGCAUUGGGUCAGCUGGUCAGGGAAAUGGGCUCGGGUCAGGGAAUCUGUUUGGUGGGCACCACAGCUGGUUGAUCUUUGGAGGAAUCCCACAGGUCAAGGGAGGUUGUGGUUGUUCGUUGUCAUUGAGGCUUUGCUUGGUUGUUCUGGCUUCUGCUUCCAAUCAACUUGCUUAAUAUUUGAGCCCAUCCCCUUCCCACACCAUUCCUCUAUCCUUGACUCUACUUCAUUGCAUGGAUUCCCUUUCCCUUUAAAAGGUCAACCUCUUGUCAUCUCUGGUGCUUGGCUGUGGUUUGUCUGAUUGUAAUACCUAUUUGCACUACAUACUUUAGCUCUUUGACUCUUCUCUUUCUAGCUUGGUCCCAAGCACAGUGUUCCCCUGCAAAGUUCUCUCCUCAUGCUGGCAGGAAAACAUGGACCAGAGGGUUGUGCAGAUUAUGCAGGAUUUGAAGGUUCUGGAAGAUGCCACAAGAGUUGUACAUGGAGAGGUGGUGUGCUCACCUGCAUAUACUGAUGCAUGGUGAUACACUAGAGGUGUUAGUGACAAGUCAAAGACAAAAGACAAAGGUGCUACAGCGAUGCAGCGAGUGCAUCACUGUGGGUGUUGCUGUACAAUAUGCUUGGACAGUACAGGAGAGACUGAGCUUGGUGCUGUGCUGUGCCAGGGAACCCAACAGCACUGUCCUGGGUUCUCAGUCAGUGUUUCACAUGAUGAAUAAGCUCUCUGAGGAAAACAGGUAACUUGACAUCUCACAUGCCUAAAAACUCCUGUUCCAGUCGGUUUUUUCAGUUUGCACGUCCUGGUUCAGAAGUUGGGAAAUACUCUGGGAGGUCAACAACCGUGCUUAUGAAAACUUGAUGGCUACUUCCUGUUGGCAGAAGCUCUUCUUUGGAGCAGUGCCAGCGUUUGAAAGGACCCUGAAGGAAAACACCAGCCGUGGCUGUACUGUCUUGCAACUCUUGUGUGAACUUGUACUGUACAUUGGGCAAUAGUCUGCAAAAAGAAAAGGCUGCAUUUAUCUAAAUAAAGCGGUCUUUCUGUUCCAAGCUGCAAUAGUGAAUUGUGCCUGGAUGAAGGCACAAGGCUGCGGGAGACACCUUUAACCCCAGCUCCUGGCUCUGGAGACACCCUUAUCCCGGGUCGUGCCCCCGCGGGAGCCCCGCGCCCGUCCCGCAGCGCCGCGGUGCUCGGGGGACACCUGGUGGCGUCUGCGCCGCAGCGCGCCCGGCCCCGCCCCGCACAGGCCCCGCACGCCCCUGGGCUCGGCGUAGGAACUGCUGGUGCUGCUUCGCAAUGGAACCCCAUCCAGCACGCGGGUGUGUCCGAGUAAAGCUCUCAGUCAGCCCUGAGACUCUGUGCUGCCCAAUCCUGUCUGAGAGGAACAGGGCAAGCAUGUACAUGGCCUUGAAUUUAUUGGAAAGAGGACAGCUCUUGUUCCUAUUGCUUAUUAAGAUGUAUAGGAAUAUAAUUCGCUUAUGAAAUAAGCUCUGCAGAGCACGAUAUUAAAACAUGUAGGGAACAUGGGCAGUAGUCCGAGUUAUCGACUCGGCUGGUUCCUGAAACCACCUGGACAGUCAGAUGUGGGAGUGUGAAUGAGACAGAUGGCUCUUCUUAUCCUUUCUGUAGUCACCUGGUCUGCUAUCAUAGAAUCCUAGAAUCAUAGAAUUAACUGGGUUGGAAGAGACCUCCGAGAUCAUCAAGUCCAACUCUUGGUCCAACCCCACUGUGAUGACUGGAUCAUGGCACUCAGUGCCACAUCCAGCCUCAUCUUAAAAACCUGCAGGGAUGGUGAAUCCACCACCUCUCUGGGCAGGCCAUUCCAGUGCCUGAUCACUCUCUCUGUAAAGAACUUCUUUCUAAUAUCCAACCUAAACCUCCCCUAGCAGAGCUGAAGCCUGUGCCCUCUUGUCCUAUGAGGACUCCUCAGAGACAGUUUGCUGUAAAAGGAAGAUUCUCAGCUUUGAUUUAGUAGAUGCUUUAAUGAAAAACUCUGUUCAUUAAAACCUCAUUCUUGUCGUGCAGAACUCUGGAAUGAGGUUGCUUCUCAUACCCAUUUAGAGCCAGUAUAUGUGUCCCUAUGCUGUGCAGGGCAAUGAGGGUACAUCCUAAAUCCCUCUAUGAUGUUCUUUAAUGUAUACAAGGGGACCUCUGACACACCACCUGCUUCUUAAACUUGAGUGUCAUAACAGCCCAGAAUUCCAAGGCAAAUGCUAAAUAAAUAAUUUUUUUUGUAAUGUAGGAGGAAGAUGUCGAGUCAGGUAGUUUACAAUUAUACAAUGGGACACUUUUUCCUUCACUUCAGUUUGACUGAAGCAAAAGACAGACACUUCUUCCUUUAGGUGGAACAAAUACAAGUAGAACUAUAUGAACACAAAUUGGCUUCAAAGGGAAAUUGCUAAGUCUCUAUUAAAACAAACAGUUUUAACAGUCAUAAACGAUUAUAAAGAAUACUUAGAAUACUUUGAAUGUUUUUUAAACAGGAGUUAUCAACAAAUCUACUGGUACUAUCCAGACUUCCUGAUUUUGGUGGUGUUUAAAAUAUAACAGUUUAUUUUAGUUCUUACAUUUUAAUCCCAGUGUAGUGGCAUGUCUCUUCCUGAUUAGUCAGUGAUGUGUUUCUCAGUUUCUCUUCUGUCUCUUAUUUCUCACCUUGACUUUGAGUUUUAAAGGGAAGACAGUGUCUGAAGCAUGUGUGAACAAAUGAAUCCCCACGAUCAAGGUGGCAUGUGAAUUGAUGACGUGGAGGUGUUUGUGGUAACUGCCAUGAAAACUGAUAAUAUGCCCCAGCUUUCAGGACAUGCUCUCAACAUUGUUGUUUUAAAUGAGGUAACUGGGCUGCCUGUGCAAGUUGUUUACUUUGUCAUAGCUGCAGCCUGGAACUCUGAUUAUUUUCCAACUUAACUUGAAGAUGUAUCCACUUGUAUAUAACCCUUUUUGUGUUCAUUGUGUCAGUGCUCAGCUCUUUCAGCAUCUUAUGUAGUAUUAUUGGUACCUGAGCACUUUAGCUGGAAUUCCCUCGGUGACUUGUCACUUGAUCCUUUGUGUUGGGUGACAAUCUUUCCCGGACAUUAUGCCUGUUCACCCACCUACCACUCCUCCUGGGUAUGAUCACAACCUUCCUACUGCAUAGAAAAGCCUGAUGAUGUGUUUGUGACUAUCAAAGAUGAGAGAAAGGUCUGAGAUGUUUUGUGGUCAUUGACAAAUUUUUAAUUGCCUUUAUAGAAUAGAUAGGAGGAUGAGAAGUAAUUGUGUAAAAUCUGAAUGAAUCUGUGAAGUGCUGGAGGAAUAAACUGCUGUCCUUUCCAUCAGCACUUCCACAGUGGUGAGAACUGAUAGAAACCAGUUUUUCCAGGAAUAGAUUUUUUGUUCAUCUGUUUUCAUUGUCAAGAAGAAAAUGAUUGAUCUACUGAAAUAUGAUCCAAUGUUUUCAGAUAGUGUUUAUUCCUAGGCACAGUUCCCAUUUGCCAUUGUAUGUUCAGAACACUUUUGUUAAUUGGAGACAACGGUGGUGGUUUGUUGGGGGGUUUUUGUUGUUGUUUGGGGCUUUUUUUGGGGGGAGGGCGUGCUGGUGUUUGUGUUUGUUUGAGCUUGGGUUUUUUUAGUGUUUUAUGUGGCAGCUUGUGAAAUAUCUGGUAGUAAAAGCGAAAAACAGUCUCAGUGCUGUGUGAGUGCAGUGUUAUCUGCAACUACUCCCAGCCGAGCUCCGGACAGGUCCUCGCUCACCAGAGGGGGGAGUUGGGCACUGGGCUCUGCAGCUGAGGGGUGCCCUCCUCACUCUUGUAAGAGGAUCUCCCAUUGAAAUGGAGCCACAAUCUAGUGCUACCAGAUCUCUUCUUAUGAUAAAACAUAGGAGCAAGAAUCACCUUUUCUUACUAUUUAACACAUCUGAGCAGCCCCUUUUAAGAGAUUUUCAUUUUUCUUUACAAAGUGGACGAGAGAUGAAAUAUACUGCAAACAAGGUCUGUCAAUACUGGAGACGAUCUCAGUCAAAUAGAACUUCAACAUUCACAGUAACUGAAAUACUUUUAAUCCAUGCUCAUUGGUUAGUUUCUUUAUUUCUUUGAAAAAGGGUCAUAUUUGUUAUGCUAGAAACUUAGACAAUAUAUCGGGGUAAAAAAAGUUUCUCAGAAAAUCCUCUUUAUCACUGGCUGAAAGUUCAGUAAGACUUUUGGGUUCUGAUAUUGCUGUACUUACUGCAAAGUGAAUCAUCAGAAUCUGAGAGCGCUGUAGAUCAUCAGGAGGGUGGGUUUUGGUGUUGUCUCUUAAGAAAAUACCUAACUGAAGAUGUCAUCUGCUCUUUGCUAUCCUAACUGAUACUGGGUUUUGGGGAGGCUCCCUCCGUACUGGAGGACAAACAAGUUAGUGCUAAAGCAGCAGAGCUAAAGAUACUUUGUUUCCAAUAUAUAUGUUAAGAUCUCUGAGCUCCUGUCCUUAUCACCUCCCUUCAAUAACCUGAGUUCCUCUUCCCUUCCUUUCGCAUUCCGUAAGCAUCCUGAUCAAGCAAGAGCCAACAAAUGCUGUAACUAAUCUGCUGCUGCACUUAGGUUUUUUCUAGCUACUGCCAUGCAGAGUGUGCAACAGCUGAACUCCACCGACCUCUGCCCCCCUCACCGAGGGACACGGUUCUGUACCAGCAUUUACAUGCACACACAUUUACUUUAUGUCCUUUCCUAGUGGUAACCCCUUAAAAUGCAAGUACAGUUACAAAAGCUUCAUGUUAAUUAAAGAGGAUGCAACUAGAAUGGAUUCUUUAAUUUAAAAAAAUGUAAAAUCAACAACAGACUGUUCUUUGGACAGUAGAACUGAAAAAGUGCAGUUUCUUAAAUGUUUUCCUGCUGCCCUAGCUUCCCCUGAGUCCUGCUUGGACACUCCUGCAGUACCCAGAGUCCAGAGCCUCCAAUUUUCACAAAAUUUUUCACUGUGCUAUCUUAAAACCUCUCUUCUGCCCUUAAGUUUGGUCAAAAUUAGCUAAUAGGUUCAGAAGAGCAACAAGGCUGACAGGCAGAUAGCAUACGUUUAAUUUAAUUAUGAAAUUAGGCUAAAAGAGGCUCAAGAAGGGAUUCUUCAGUGCUGUAUUUGUGGUUGACUGCACAGAUGUGACAGAAAGCAGCUUUCAGAUACCUUCAGCCAAAUGUAUUUUCAAUUAAAGGGAAGGCAGGACCGGGGAAUUGGGUUCUUGCCUCCUUUAAUGGUGAGAAUGGCUGAUGGACAUGUUGCAAACAGCUACUUAAUGUUGUUUUCUUUUUUCCUGAUGUACAAGGCUAUACUUCCUGUGCAAUAUUCCAGCUCAGCUCUCAGCACAAAAUAUUUAAUUUUGGUUUGGGCUUUUUCUAUAACAUUCAUCACAGUAUUAUGUGGGACCUUCACCAACUUUGUUUUAUCUCGAGAGCAGAGGGAGAAAGGUUCUAUAAUAUCCAUUUCUUUGCAAGGGAAAUGAGAUGGAAGUUCAGUGUCAAAAGCAUCCCCUAGUGUUGAUUGCCCUCUUCUGAGAUAGAAUGAUCAAAUUGUUUAGUUUGGAAAAGACUUGUAAAACCAUCAAGUCCAACCCUUCCCCUAGCACUGCUAAAGCACUAACUCAAGUUACAUCAAGUUACAACCAAGUGCCACAUUCACACAUCUUUUAAAUCCCCUCAUGGAUGGUGACUCCACCUCUACCCAGGGCAGCCUGUUAAAAUAUUCAAAUGCUUGAAAAGCCUUUCCAUGAAGAAAUUUCCCCUGAUAUCCAAUAUAAACCUUCCCUGGUGUGACUUGAGGCUGUUUCCUCUGGUCCUGUCACUUGUUACUUCGAAGAAGAGACCGAGUGCCCAGGCCAUGCUUUCUCAGACCACUUGGCACUGCACAUCAUUUCCUUAUGUUCAAAUCACAGCUCUCACUGUCCUCAGCUGCAGUUGUAAAUGCUGGAGACUUCUGUAUUUCAGACCCUGGGCCUCAGUUUGCUAUUUAGGGGGGGAAAAAGGAAAACAUAUCGAAGUAUUAUGGCAUAACUGAAUUGUGAACUGUGUGCUGCCAACUGGGCAGGAUGCCAAUUAGAAAUAUUUGAUGCUUUAAUGAUAGACAGCCCAUUCUCUUCUUGCAACUUCCUGCUUGGAUUUCUGCCCAAGUAGAGGGAACUUGGUGACCUGAGACCUAGUGCCACAUGUUAUUCCUCAGUAUUUGACUGUGAGGCUGCGACAAGGCAAUUUUGGUGUGUCUAUAGCGAUGAUGGACAGUUUAGUGGAGUGAAUCAGAUCUUCAGCAACUCUUUUUUUUUUUUGGUGUAGGACGUUGUCCACUUUUUAUAUGGAGCCCUAUUCCCAUCUUUUUCAGUAGGUAGUUUCCAGAUUUUGUUUGACCUGCCAUUUCUGCAUUCCCAACUCUCUGCCUAACUUGGAGAGGCUCUACCUCUAUUCCAUUUCCUAGGGAAUAUCUGAAAAGUACUGGUGAUUCUGUUUCGUUAUCAAGAGAGGUAGGAGUCUUAUCUACAGCAUUUUUUCACUAUACUUAAUUUACUUU